rnacentral:lncRNA from 1 species
CUCUUGUGUCAAUCUAAUUACAUAAUAAAUCAGUCCCCAUCAAAAUCAGUCAGUUUAAUCUACAGAUAUCAGUCUCAGUCCCCAUCAAAAUCAGUCAGUUUAAGCUACAGACUUCAGUCUCAGUCCCCAUCAAAAUCAGUCAGUUUAAUCUACAGAUUUCAGUCUCAGUCCCCAUCAAAAUCAGUCAGUUUAAUCUACAGAUAUCAGUCUCAGUCCCCAUCAAAAUCAGUCAGUUUAAGCUACAGAUAUCAGUCUCAGUCCCCAUCAAAAUCAGUCAGUUUAAUCUACAGAUAUCAGUCUCAGUCCCCAUCAAAAUCAGUCAGUUUAAUCUACAGAUUUCAGUCUCAGUCCCCAUCAAAAUCAGUCAGUUUAAUCUACAGAUAUCAGUUUCAGUCCCCAUCAAAAUCAGUCAGUUUAAUCUACAGAUAUCAGUCUCAGUCCCCAUCAAAAUCAGUCAGUUUAAGCUACAGAUAUCAGUCUCAGUCCCCAUCAAAAUCAGUCAGUUUAAGCUACAGAUAUCAGUCUCAGUCCCCAUCAAAAUCAGUCUCAGUCCCCAUCAAAAUCAGUCAGUUUGAGCUACAGAUUUCAGUCUCAGUCCCCAUCAAAAUCAGUCAGUUUAAUCUACAGAUUUCAGUCUCAGUCCCCAUCAAAAUCAGUCAGUUUAAGCUACAGAUAUCAGUCUCAGUCCCCAUCAAAAUCAGUCAGUUUAAUCUACAGAUAUCAGUCUCAGUCCCCAUCAAAAUCAGUCAGUUUAAUCUACAGAUAUCAGUCUCAGUCCCCAUCAAAAUCAGUCAGUUUAAUCUACAGAUAUCAGUCUCAGUCCCCAUCAAAAUCAGUCAGUUUAAUCUACAGAUAUCAGUCUCAGUCCCCAUCAAAAUCAGUCAGUUUAAUCUACAUAUAUCAGUCUCAGUCCCCAUCAAAAUCAGUCAGUUUAAGCUACAGAUAUCAGUCUCAAUCCACAACAUCCACCUAUGUUGGCCUUCUGCAUCUGAGGUGGAAAGUGGCAGCGCUACAACUCUGUUUGUCAGACCAAAAAUCGCAUUUCUCAUAAAAUCAGUUUGGUCUACUAACUUUAUGGAAAGAUGGGACUCUCACAAACAGGAUGUUGUUCUCUGUUUUGCUCUACAACCCCCACAAGCCUCAUGGGACACGUCUGAAGUUGGUACCGACGAUGUGCCAACUUCGGUCUGUACCGUCCGAACCGUUCUGGCUACAAACUAA